UGCCCAUUUUGUUCCAAAAUUCUACAUCUAUCCUGGAAUACCUCAGUAAGCCUGAUUCGAUUUACACUUCUUAAGAUGGAGAUAAAAUUUCAGCACUGAAUUUGGAAUAUUUGAUCACGAGCAAUUAAGCUAGAGUCACUGUUCAUUUAAGUAAAGGGAAGUAAAAUCUUUCAGGAUUGCAUUAGCAUUUCUCCUGCAUUGCAGAAAGCCUGACUGUACAUGCAUAUAAAGUAUGGAAAAUACUCGUGAAAAUCUGAAGACUUCUCCCACAUUUUUUCAGUUUCUAAUACAAACCUGCAGAGCCAGCUGCUGUAAUUUUGAAUUCCUUUGGAAGGUGUGCCAUUCCAGUUAAAUAUCAGGUGCAUCCCCACUGCUAAUUAUGCAGGGGUGUAGGAAUCAAGGAUGUAGCUCUCUAUUCUGCACGCUGUUGGAAGGACUGCUCUCUGUGUCAGUGACUCAAGCUGGUGAAUACGCAAAAGUGAGCAUCCUCUCUUUUUGAAUAUAUUGUAUUUUGUAAGGAAAACAAUAUCAAAGUUUUCUUAAGUACAUUUCUAAGGAAAUGUAAUUUUCAAGCAGCUAAAGCCACUUGUUCUUGUGCUUUGUGCCUCAGACAGUAGCGGUGGGUCUCAAUAAUGAAGGUUUCUCCCUAUUGUGUCUUAUCGCUUCAAUAUUAAUGAGUAGUGAGCUCUACAUCUGUUAUCAUCACGCAUUUUCCACACAGAACAGCAACUGAGCAAUACUACAAAGCUAAGCUAAUCUUCAGAGCUUUCUCUUCAUAUUUUCCUAUUAACAUCUAUUGUCAUUUUAAGGGCUAAACCCUGCCUAAGGACAUGCAUUGAAAUGACUAUCUCUUCUGUCAAUAAAUAGGGACCAUGCAUACAUCUCCUGGUAAAAUGAAACACACUUCACGAGCCUCUUCAUCCACAUUAUUCCAGGGGUACUGAAAUUGGGUCUCUUGACUCUUUCCUCUGAUUAAAGAGUGUUAUAAUAGUAGCUGUUAGAAGAAUAAUUUCUGCCUGUGGCAGAGGAUUUUAAUCCAGUAUCUACUGCUUCUUCCUCUCAUAAACUUUCAGUUUUUCUUACUUAUUUUUCAUAGGCAACCCUUCCUUUAUUGAGAGCUACCAUUGGAAAGCAACCGAUCCCUCUGUCCUGCUCUCUUGAACAUUCGUUUGUGGCUUCUCUUUUUUGUUUCGUCAGAAUAUGCAGUCUGUGGCAGUUUUGCACAGAGAAGUCAUGGGGAUGGCUGGGUCAGAGGACAUAAAGUUCCUGUAAAGUCUAAAAGGAAAGUGAAACGUGAGAUGGAGCAAGUAAGAACAAUUUCUAACUAUUAUUAGCUGGUGCUGCUGUUCAGUUUUUGCUGUUUAGUUGGUGAUGAUAGUUAAUAUUUUGAUUAUAUUUGAUAAUGUUUCUUUUUAUCCACACAUAUAGUUGCUCUAGACCCAAUAUAUAAUCAGUCACAUAAUGAGAUGAAAUCAUGUGCGGUCACAGAGUUAUUUUUACUCAAGCAUAUGAAGGUGUGUACUUCUUGCUAUAUAAAAUAUGCUAAGUGGCAGGGCGUUUCGGUGUGUUGCUUAUUUUAUCCUGCAGAAUUUUUCUAAUCACCAAGCAUAUGCACACAGUUCCAAAGAAAACAAAGGAAUGCAGAAGUAUUAAAUACUUACAGCUGCUCUGCUGAGGCAGCAGCCACAUGCUGGCCUGUUGUAUGAGAAUUAAUUGGGAAAGCUUCUACACAAAAUAAUCAUCAUCCGACUCGAAUUCUAAGAGCCAAUUUAGGAUGUCUUACUUUUGGAGAAACAACGUCUUACAGGCUUCAGAACUAUAUUUGAUUGCAAAAAUAUCUGCUCAAUCUGGCACUCCAGAGAGAGUGAAAUACAAAGAAUAAAGUGAUAAUCAGAAAUCAGCUAAUUCUUGUCCAGUCCUUUCUUGGGAGUCAGAAUGAGUUCAUGUAGGUCAUAACAGACAAAUCUUUCUCUAAAUGUCCUUAAAGUACUUUCGCUAUUGAGAGUCUGCAAAUUAGAUUUCCCUCUUGUUCUUCCUCCAGUGAGUAUUGAAAACAAUUGAUUGUAUCUUUGCUACAGAAGAGGGAUAAGAGCAAAUGAAAACUAGUGAGCUCAGUGACUUGGUGUAUGAGAGGGUGAGGUAGGCUGCCCAUACUGGGAUAAAACGUUAUUUGUUUGUAUUAUCAAACCCUUGGUUUGAUACUGUGGAAAGUUGGUUGGGUUCCUAUGAGCAUUUCUUGUUUUAGAACAAAUAACAAACUCAUUCACCCUGAUCUUUUGCAAGCAGGACAUAAAUCUUAAACAUCUAAUCCUUUUUGCUGAUCUGCUUUGGAGGUUCUCUCCAGUCUUCCUGCAUUUCUUGUUUGUGCAUGAAGCCAUUUCAAAGUUCUGACAUAUUUGAAAAGGAGUUAUCUCAAUAUAUUCCCUUGUAUGUGUGUAUAUACACUACACUAUAUGUGUAGUGCUCACAAACAAGUCAUUUGCCCAGUGACUAAGGAUGGGCCUUUGUGCUUUCAAAUUUACGUUAAAAAAUGAGUAGUCAGCAAGGCCACAGAUAGCAAAUGUAGCAGCCUUGGUAAGUGCCCUUUGUGCUGGUAUUCCUCUUAGUUUAGAAAUCAGAAAUCCUUGUUGAGUGUAUUUUUAAGUAUUUAGAAUGAAAUAAUGUCUUGCUAAGGCAUAUUUUCCUUUUACUAGUUUCACAGUAAAUAUUUUUUUCAAAGGUGUCAAGCUGCUUGAUGCAUAAUGCAAUUUGAAAUGUGUAAAUGUUACUUGUCGACAACAUUCUUACGUUUCUACUUUUGUUUGGAACUUUUGGCAUUACAUGCACUUUAUAUUUAGCAUCUUAACAUUUUCCACUUGCUUAUUCCUCAGUCCUUCACUGCAAAAGUAGAAUGGCCUCUGUUGGGUUACAGAGGUGUUAUUGUGGUCAUGUUAGACUUCAGGGUUGUUUUUCAGUUUUGAAAUCUGCAGUCCCUUUAAUUCACCUUUCUGAGAGCAGGGAAUAUUUGGUUAAAAAUCCUAGUGAGGAAAAAUCAGUAGACCCCAUUGACAACAGCUUUAUUAUGACACAAAACACAGAUUUAUGUGGGCAGGUUGUUAUUUAUGCAUAGAUACAUCAUCCAGGUCUUUUUAUUGAAAGGUAGCCAGGUAGUCACAACUGCCAUGACCAGUUCUUGAGGUAAAACGAAAACAUGAAGGAGAGACCAGCUGCCACUUGGCUGUGAAAGGCACCUGGAGCUCAGCUUGUGAGGAAGAAGAAGGCAUGUGAAGGAGCUGAGGUAGAACUUUGAAUCUCCUGGCAUUACAGAAAAUUGCAAAGUGUGGAUUCCUGUGCAGAUGUCCUUCUUCAGUUGCAUUUUCAGUUUCUUUUUGCUGUAGGUUUUGUAGGUUCCUCUUCAAGAUCACACAAACCAUGGCCACCUGAAAGUUACCUUGUGUCACUUUCAACAAGAAAACCUUGCUCUUUCAUCAAGUCGUUCUUAAGUUCUCUGUGAAUCGGUUCUCAUAUCUAUUGUAAUGUACAAUAACUUUGUACCUGUCUGUGCUUCAGUACUGGUGCCAUAAGAUUCAGCAGUUUACAACCACCUCAGACAAAAGCAUCUUGACUUUCUAUAACUGGAACAGACCACGCAGAUUACAUUCAUUUCAGCAGCUCUGCCAGCAGUGUAUAUGCCUACAAAGAUGGUGAGCUUCUUCCCCUGCAUAUGUGCUCUGUUAGCUACUGAUAUCUUUGUCCCUGAUUAUUUCGGUUCCUUAUGUUUUCGGAGUUUAAUCCUGUCUCCUGGAACACAGUGCUCUGUUCUUUACAAAACUCUUCUCCGAGGCUUGCACACAUAGAGAUGGCAACUGGCUUUUAAAAGAGGCAGUAUGAUCUACAGCAUGUAUCAUAAGACAGAAAAAAAGCCAGAAGAGCAUAUUGAGAGACAGAUGCUACCCCAGAUAUCAGAAUUUUUAUUUCUGGAUAGUAACUUCUCAUCUGCAAAACCUGGGCUUUGGUCUGAACACUUUUGCUUCUCUCAAGAACACAUGACUAGUUGUACCAUUAAUUAGAGGAUGCAAAAAAGUCAUCUAUUUGUAUAAACUUACAGCAAAGAGAUCAUCUUCUAUUAAGUAUGUAUUCAAACAGUAUGUCUAUUUAUAUACACUCAGGCUGCAGCAUUCUCUGGAGAAGACAGCUUAGGUAGAUGUGUGCUCACAUCAUUUUUAUUCUAGUAGUUUUUCUAUCAUAAAUAUUUGAUUGAAUUCAUACAACGUUCUUUCCAUUUUGAUGUGUAAAACUAUAAAGCAGACAUUGAAGUAUGUAUUUGUUGUUUGAAGAUAUUAUUUUUGGCACCUGGCAUUUAAUGUGAAAUAGAAUUUAAGAAUCUAGAAGCUGAUGUUUGACUGGCUAGAUUGUGAGUUCCAAAAGGAAAUUAAGCAGAACCAAGUGUUAUCUCUUGAUACUUAAUGAAAUCAGCAGGAGCGUACCAUUGACUAAGGUUCUGUUCUCUAAAAUAAAGUGAUUUCUCCCUUGUUUACCAUUAGGUUUUCCCAUUCUUCCACUUCUGGAAACACAGGCUGUUUGUUUGGAACACACUCUCUGUCCCAUCUGGUUUGUAACAUGUUCCUAUUUGGGCAUUUGUCAGUCGAGGGAAGUAUGUGAGUUAACAAACAUUUCUGUGAGUUAAACAUUCUCUGAACGACGCCUAUCAGAAUGUGGGUAUCAGAAGUGGCAGAUAGAGCAUGUGCUCAGCAAGAGAAACGCUGCAUUGCAGAUUAAAGGAAAUGGCAACGUCAAGACUCUGUGUUCAUCUAAUGGUAAUCACAACAGGGACUUGCAAAUCUUAACCUGCUACAAAGUUCUAAUGAAAAUAACAGCAGAAUCAGCAGAAUGACAAACGUAAUACCCUCCUUUGAUUAUUAUUUUUUUAAGUGUAUUUGGAUUUUGAAAGCAUCCCUGCCCUUAAACAGCACAGUGCCUUUUAAAGCCACAUAUCAAGUGACUUGUUCUGUACUGACUCACUAUUUAUUCUUCUACCAACAGUGUUUUGUGAAGCUGAGAGCUACCAACCAUGUCUGGAGUGGAAGUGCCAGGGUCAGUGUAAGUUUCUUCGUAGCUGAAAGGAGGAGGAGAGAACCCCGCUUUUGCCAAGGGCAUCUGCUGAGAUUCUCAAGCACAGAAGAUAUAAUGGUGGGAAGUGAGCAGUUGAAAGGUACAACUGGGAACAAAACCAGCUCAGCUGGGAGGCAGGCAGAGGCAUUUGCAUUUGGGCUGCUUGUAUCACAUCUUACACAGAGAGCAGUUUCUGCUAGAAAUUCGUAUAUCAGAGGACGUUCAUGCUAGUCAAAGCUGUAUUGCAGGGUUUAAACUCAACCGUGUAGCUGUCUACACAAACGGAAAGGAGGACAAUACUCUGCCUUGCACAGUGCUCAAGGGGCGCUCCGAGGGAGAUGGCAGGAAAGGCACGAAGGGGUGUGAGAAACUAUGACUAAUUGCUGUUUGCAGCUGUGGAUGGACACGUGUUUAAUUAUCUGCUACAUGUAUGCAUAUUUCAUUUGCAGUCACUAGAGCCCAGAUGUUCCCUGGCAUAAUACAAAGUAUGACAAACAAAAGGAAAAGGUUCGGAGAGCCGACUAAGAGGGGCUAGGAGGGGCAGCUUCAUGCUGUAUUCCUUCCUACUGUAUGCUAGGCCUGUCCUGACAUUUUUCUGACUUCCAAGUGCAGAUUUGUACAUCCGUAGAGAGAGAUGAAGCCUGAGAACAGCCACUGCCAGCAGCUCCCAGCCCAAGCCAGCAGCAGGGGGCUGAGGUGGGCUGAAUGGAGUUGAGCACCCAGCAGUAACUUGGAAGGGAGCAGAGGCUGGGCUCCUGGCUGCCUCCACACAGCCUGCGACUGUCCAGCAGAGCAGCACUUCUCUGUGUUCCUGGCUUGCUUUUCUCCUCAAGGCAUUUCCCUUGGAAAACGCUUUUUGUAAGAUCUACACGUUGCAUUCCCAACACUCAGAAACAGGAGUCCAGACAAACAGGACUACCGCCUUCUUCUGUCGGCCCU